CUGACUGCAGCCUCAACAGGCACAUUAGAUUCGAAAUUGGAUGAAGACUGGAAAAAUUGGAAAUCACAACAUGGGACCCAGUACACCAAGGAUGAGGAGAGUUACAGGAGAAUGAUAUGGGAGGACAAUAUGAGAUACAUC